ACAUACAUACCUUAAUUUAUUGCCUGGCAAUGGCAAUUCUGUAAUUGCAGAGUCUCCCGGUGCUGCUGCUGUUGAAGUGUUACCUGAAAACUUUGAUGCCGCUGCCGAACUUGCUGCAGAAAUAAAAAAAAUCCAAGAAUCGCAAGUGAAGAUUUCUCAAUGGCAGC